UGAGGAUCCCUUGAUUUGAUACAAUGGCAGUGUUAUGUAUUAGUAGCAUGAACAGGAAGCAGCUGGCGUCCUGUUCAGAAAACAAUUUCAUUUUUUAUUGCGGAGAGCAAUAUUGAAAAACACUGUGUGUGCAUGAGGGGCCUAAUCCUUAAAAAUGUGAGAGCUGAGAUACUCUCCCAUUUCAUUGACCAGUCACUUCUGAACUAUUGUUCUUGAUUUGCCUCUUUUCACAGAAAGCUGUUCUGGUGUCAGUCCUUCAGAAUACAGAGAAAAAUAGCUCAAGCCCUGGAAUGGCUAUUUUGCACCUGUCUGCCACCUCAGCUGUCUGCUCCUGCCUGCCAUAGGAAGACAUGUACUGUCUUACUAGCAAAGUAUUUGUGCUAGAAUAUGGAUUUAAUAACAAGGCCCCAGAAACCUGAAAUAAUGAUACGACUGUAUGCUGUGCAGCUGAUGGAUCUUUUCUGUGUAAGAUGUCUUGCUUCCUCCAUACGAAGUAAAUGGUUUCUACGGAUGUGUAUAUUAAAGUUCUCAAGCUGCACUGUAAGUGGUAGUAAUUUGGACAGUGACAGCAGCUUGAAUGAAUGUUUAGAACGUCUUGCUUGUCAUUGCUAUUGUUAUUUGAGAUCGCGUUUCCAGAGGUUGGAGCUUAUUAGUCAAAGUAUUAAGGACCACAUUGUGUUGCCAUGAGUAACUUCAAUCUAUUAUAGAAAUAGGCUUAGGGGCUUUACUACAUAGGGAGACAAUUCUGAGGUGUUCUGUUUGUCUCUUGAUUUGUAUGGACUUCUAGUAGUAGUAGUCGAUUGCUG
rnacentral:lncRNA from 1 species